rnacentral:rRNA from 1 species
ACGAACGCUGGCGGCGUGCUUAACACAUGCAAGUCGAGCGGUAAGGCCCUUUCGGGGGUACACGAGCGGCGAACGGGUGAGUAACACGUGGGUGACCUGCCCUCAGCUCUGGGAUAAGCCUGGGAAACUGGGUCUAAUACCGGAUAUGACUCCAUGACGCAUGUUGUGGGGUGGAAAGCCUUGUGCGGCUGAGGAUGGGCCCGCGGCCUAUCAGCUUGUUGGUGGGGUGANGGCCUACCAAGGCGACGACGGGUAGCCGGCCUGAGAGGGCGACCGGCCACACUGGGACUGAGACACGGCCCAGACUCCUACGGGAGGCAGCAGUGGGGAAUCUUGCGCAAUGGGCGGAAGCCUGACGCAGCGACGCCGCGUGAGGGAUGACGGCCU